CUGUACUUGUACUCGAAGCGGCGGUGCGGGAGGGCCCCCGCCGAGCCUGCCGCCGCCUCGCCGGGAACGAGCGGCAGGCGGCCGAAGUCGGAAGUCCUGCUCAAAAAGAUGAUUACAACAUAUGAGACCCAGCCUUCUUCCAUGAAAGUGAGCAAAGCGAACCUUGGGUGACACCCUCAAUUAUUCAAGCUGACAGUGGUGAAAGGUGGUUAGUGAUCCAGACGCUGCUUUGGAGAGGGCCAGAUUUAUAAAGGUCUCACCUUGUGUGGAGUGAGGAUGUGGCUGGGAUGGCUGUUGGUGACUGAGGAAAGACAGAAGGGAGGUGACAGGGUGGAUGGGAGGCCUCUGUUUUUGUGGCCGAUGCUGGGGGCGCUUCCAUCGAGGCCUGGAUCAACUGGGACGUCGGCACUGGUGCGUUGGAGGAGGGAGGUAGCCGAUGGCAGGGAAUCGCACCCCAGCACCUGGUGGCCCCUUCCUUCUGCUAAGAACAGCCGCCUUCCCACCCCAGGCAGGCCGGGUAGCGCGCUCAGGUGAGCUGCCACAGCUGCGAGCCCGUGUUAGAGACAAGAGAAAGUGUUAAUCGACCAAGGCGACGAGCACGAGAGCCAAAGCGUUUCUGCCCCCCAGGAGGAGAGGCGCCGUUUCCUUUGGCAGAGAAGGCAGCGCCUGCUGUUACGGACCGUCCUCGUGAGAGCAGCGAGCGUGGCCUCCUGCCACUCUGUUGGGCGAUAUAAAGAACCAACAGGAUCAAUCACCGGGACGGUUUCUGUGUUGGGGUGCCGGGAGCGAUGCCGAGGCGCUCCCCGACAUCUCGGAUGUUGAGGCGCCGUGCUGCGCCCGGAUGAAAAUGAACCUGACCUGAACGGAAGGAAGCCCUCUGGCUCCAGCGGGGCUGGAGGCGGCGGCGGCCCCGAGCCGUCCAGGGAAAAUACCCCAGAUUGUCCAGAAUCGAGCCGCAGUCGCGUCCCACUGGGGCUGCCUAACGUCGCCGAAGGAGAAGGGUGGAGCCUGGAAAGACGUGGCCAGCCUGGCUGCAGCUCGUCGCGAGCACUGCCACGAGCGGCUGGCCCUGCCAGCAGACAGCCCCAGCCAGCAGCGCGGGAAGCGGCAGCGUGGGCGGCCGUCCGAGCAGAGCCGUCACGCCGCGCGGGAGCAGCAGCAGCUGCCACGAGCAGGCAGACACGCAAACCCGAGCUGUCGCGUUGGGCGCAGGAUCUGUCACGGAGCCUCCUGCCACCACGUGGCAGCAGCCUCAGCUUGGCACCCGACCGCCCGCGUGUUUCCCAUCGCGACGUUAACGGCACCGAUGGAUCCACAGCGCAACGCGUGCCCCGCUGCAGGCUUCUGUGCCGGCACUGUUACCGUGGACAGUUGCCGGUGGGACCACGAAAAAGCACCGGGCGGUCCAGGCGACAGACGGAGCGAUGACACCCUCAGCAGCGGGUUCGAGGAGUCGGUGUUUGCGACGGCACGGGCUCCUCCUCGGCCAAAGGCCUGUCUCUGGAUGGCGACGGGCAGCGGCGCAGCAUCCCCUGGCCUUGUGGGCCACCAAAUUUCCAGCGAGUGAGAGAAACGAGCCGGGAGCGGGCACCAGGCCCCAGCCGGAGCCCAAAGCCAGGGGCUGCCCCGUCCUGGCGACCGACCCCCGCAGCUGGAUGUCAACUGCCACCGUUGCACCGUGGCUGCCCUUUCCCGUGCCAUGAAAGUACGAGGCAGAUGGAGAGAAUCCGUAGCGGUCUGCAAGUACGAGGGUUUCCCAAGAAGUGUUAGCGGCCUUGUAACGAGUGAGAGUGAGUCCUGAGGCUUUCUUGGUGAGUUCUUGCUUCAGCAAUGGCCUUUUUCCUUUAACCUGCAGUGUGUAGUUUUGACUUGAGUUGAAAAGGGUUUUUCCAAAAUGGCAAUCUUUCUCAUUCAAAGAAAUUUCAUUUUACGAACUUCCGGUCAGAGCGGGUCUGCAGAGAGGACGUGCUUGAUGGUAGAAGUUGUCGGCGGCGAGACUUUUCUCUCCAGAGAGCAAACAGAGAGGCAACUGAACGCUAUGGGUAUUUUCUUCUAGAUAUGUUGAUGGAGUGCUCUGAGGUCUUUCCUUUAUUUCCGUCUCGCUUUCAACGGCACGUUUCCCUGGUGGUUCAGCAGCAUUUCUCUUGGGCAGUGCAGCUGGCCAGGUGUCCCUCCUAACUAUGUGACACCGGAAAAUCCCACCCCCUGGGCCACACGAUAACUGUGUGUUUUGGAGAUAGGUAAUGUCGUGGUGUCAAUUCACAGCUCUGCAAGUUGAGCUAAUGCAAAAGGAAAAUCGACUCCUUUUAUAGUGUGAGUAUUUUUAUUGGAUGUAUAUAAACAUGCGCACCUUUUCAUAGAGAGUGAAUUACUGAGAUUUAUUCUUUCUUUUUUUUCUUUUACUUUUUCAAGUUUGGCACUUCACUUCUGAUUUUAUUGACCAAGCAAGCAAGAUGUGCAGCAGCAGCAGCAGCAGCGCCAGGGCUGUAGCUGUUAGGGGCAGGUUCUGAUUCGGGUCUGAGCUUGUCCUGCAGCCUCCCUGGGUUCUCUCACUGCAGCAGCGCUGGGAGGGACGGAGGAGACCUUGUCCGACUCAGCAAGACUGUUUGCCUUUAUGCAUGGCAAGUGCUCAAAAUCGUAUCGGUUGCUCUUAAUAGUGAUUUUUAGAGUUCCAGUCACUCCAGCCUUUACAGGAUGCAUUGUAUUUCGAGCUGACCUGUUUUCACAGACUCCUCCCCUAGCUCGACUCCUGUGCGAUCCCUUCUUCUGACUGAGCUGUCUGCUGCGUUAUUUUUCUAAGAUGCUGGAAUACGAUUUGGGAUUUUUGUUUUUCAGUUGUGUUGUUGCGAGCGUCUCGUGAUGCCCGAUAGACACCCCCUGGGCCAGGUUUGCCGCCGGUGGUUGAGCCCAGGAGGGCGAGGGGCCAGCCCUGUGUUUGGAGGCUCCUGGCUCAGCCUGGCGGGGCAGGGGCUGGGAGGGCUACAACUGUUUGGGGCGGCGAGGAGGGACUGGGGAGCGGGGGGAGGUUGGUGGCCCCCUUUAUUUUUCUAGCAGAGCCACCGCUCAGCAGGGGUGGGGGGCUUGUACAUAUCUAAAUGGCAUUAUUAAAGUAAGCAGCUGCUGGUUGGGGCA